UAUGUGAGGUAUCAAAUACGAGGGUUUCUAAUUUGGUAUUUAUUUUCGUACCGUAAACUCAACUUACAAGUACCCAUAAAUUAUUUAAUUAAUCUCAACAAUCACCUAGCUAUUUAUUAUUUCACACUAAAAUUACAUGUUUGCAAAUUAAUACACCGACCAAUUUAAUACAAUAGAGUUGCGAAAACGGAGAACUGAACUUGUAUGUCGUGUUAGUGACUACCGUUGCGUGCAAAAGUGAUGACAAGAAGGAAAAAGAACACGACUAGCCUUAAUUGUUCUGCAAUAAAUGGACAAACAUAUUUCUCAACAUUAUUAUUCCUACUAUGUCAAAAUGAAAAUGUGACGUAAGAGAAUAAAUUUGUUAAGAAACGAAGAAUUGUUGAAGUACAAUACAUUAACUAAAUGAGCACCUUUUUCUUGGUAAACUCAUUUUAGAACAAAUAUUAUAUCACACCCUACUGCGUAUAGUACAAUACUCAUGCCCUACACGCCCGGAUAUAACAUUGACGAUCUACAGUUGCAUCAAUGUUAAGUUUCAAAUCAUUCAACAAAUGUUCUUGUUUUGGUUAUUCAGAGUAAAGAAAAAAAGAUUAAAAAAAUAUAAAAGAUACGUUGCUGUGCAAAAUGAACACACUUUUACAAAGUGUAGCAUGUGCAUAACAACUUGAACCAAAAGGCCAAUAAGAGUCAAUCAAGAGUCUUUCAUAAGCCUAUGUCAACCUCGUUUUGUAAACAAUUUGGGCAAUACGUCGUAGUGAAGUUUUCAUCAAUCUAAGCUUGGACCCGGAAACAAUGAACGUAUGAUUGUUACCAAGAAUAUUGCGAUCAUACGAGUAGCCAUAUAGUGGACAAUAGUUCCGUACAUGCUUGAAAUGGGACGAACAACCUAAGUAUCUAGAAAAAUAAGCAUUACGCAUCAAUAUGUAGUGUAGCUGCAAUAACCGAAAAUAAUGCAAAGGUAAAGGCCAAACAAAUGUAAAACUGAUCUCUAUUACUUACGAUGUUCCACAAAGUUUUUUAAAUUGGAGUGGUAGUUGUUUUAUUACUAUUGUUCAUUCCUCAAUCAUUUGAAAAUGCUUUACAACUCAAAGCAACAAAGUGAAGUCGUAACAAGGCAUCAAAGCAAAUACAUCGAAAUUUUAUUCUUACUCAUGAAACAUCCCACAAAUUUGUUAGCCCUAGUGAAGUUCAAUUCUCA
rnacentral:lncRNA from 1 species